ensembl:lncRNA PANK2-AS1 PANK2 antisense RNA 1
GGUGUAGCCCAGAAGAGAGUGAUGGCGGCGCCGCCCAAUGGACGCGUGGGUGGAAGGGCCCGAGCCUCCUCAUCCACCCCCUCCUUCCGCCCCCCACUUGUGCAUGCCUCUGCCCCCCCGGGCCGCGGAACUCUCCUGGGGCGACCCCGAGUCCCACCCCGCUGCUCCGUGCCGUCCUCGCAGCUCGAGCCCUCCUCCAGCCCAGCAGUGCUCCCGCAGCGUCUGGCCGCUGGUCGUCGGCAGACGAAAGGGCUUGAACCGCGGCUGACCUUAGCCUUUGUCCCUCGGCCUAGUUCCGCAGCUGCCGUCGAGGCCGCCAGCCCCUCCCCCAGCAUGUUUGGGCUAAGCCGCCUCCUUUCCGCCUGCGUUGGAGAGAGAGGUACCAGAAGGAAUGAAAGGACUGGGGCUUGUCUCCAUGGCAACUGAAAGAAAGAGGUGGGUUAUAAAUCCUUCGCCACCCUCCUGUGGCGAAGGAGGGGAAGUGGGAGCCGGGAAGUAGAGUUGGCCUUUUGCAGGAGAGUCUGGAGCCCCUUUCUGGGUGAUGCAUUGGGGGCCAUAGAAGGAUUUGGCUGCCGCUUUGGAGCAUGGAUUUUUUUUUUAAUCAUCUUCCUUUCUCUUUUGGAGAGAAAAAUUGGUCACCUCCAGGACUGAGACCCUGACCCUUCCAAGCAUCCCCACUACCAAAGGCUGCCCAAGCCCGGAAGGAUCCCAUCCCGUUCUGUACUCUGAGGUCACUUCCUCACUCCGUCAAAUUUCACUGGACUGUGGGCUAAUUAAAAGUGCCUCCGUAUUAGCGGGGCGUGGUGGCCCAUGCCUAUAAUCCCAGCUACUUGGGAAGCUGAGGCAGGAAAAUUGCUUGAACCCGGGUGGCGGAGGCUGCAGUGACCCAACAUUGUGCAACAAGAGCGAAACUCCGUCUCAAAAAAAAUAAAAAAUAAAAAAGAGUGCCUCCCUGGGGAGACUGUAAUGCCCACUGGGCAGUGAUCCUAAUGCCCCUUGGGCAGUGAUCCUUAUUCCCCUCUCCCAUAAUGAUUGGUUGUAGCAGGCUGAACAAAAAGGUUGAGCUUCGCUUGUGCUUGCUGAAUAGAAUUCUCACGCCCACUCCACGUUAGCUCCCCUCACUGUAGGACUAGCUCUGAAAAUUCUAGCUCCUGUAGGAAGCCAACACAGACGGAUCUACAAGAACCAAAAACAGCUAUAGCUACUCUUCUAAAUCUCAGUGCCUGACAUUGCCUCUCUUUCUGCCUCCUCUCUCCACCCCCCAAAAAAUGUGGUCCUCCUUGACCUGAGGGAGCUUCCGUCCAAGUCUGAGCUCUGAUCAUCCUGAAGAAUCAAAGUAUCAUCAUCCCUUGGCUGGCAAGAUGAACUCCAACAUCAAAACACUUGAAACAGUAGUAUUUUUACACAAUUUGCCCACUGCCUCUACAUCUCACUUAGUCCUUGCAGUAACAUUUGGAUGAUGAGGUAACUUAUCCAGAAGCACAAAGCCUAAAGAAUGACAGAGCUUGGACUCCUGAGAAGUUCAGCUACUGCCCGCCUUAUGAUAACCAAAAGAAAGCGGCCGGGCGCAGUGGCUCAACUCCUGUAAUCCCAGCACUUUGGGAGGCCGAGGCGUGCGAAUCACAAGGUCAGGAGUCCGAGACCAGCCUGGCCAACACAGGGAAACCCCGUCUCUACUAAAAAAAACAAACACAAAAAUUAGUUGGGCGUGGUGGUGGGCACCUGUAAUCCCAGCUACUUGGGAGGCUGAGGCAGGAGAGUCACUUGAAUCCGGUAGGCGGAGGUUGCAGUGAGCCGAGAUCGUGCCACUGCACUCCAGCCUGGGAGACAGUGAGACUCCGUCUCUAAAAAAAAAUGAAUAAAUAAAUAAGAAGGCACACCACAA